rnacentral:rRNA from 1 species
GAAUAUUGGUCAAUGGGGGGAACCCUGAUCCAGCCAUGCCGCGUGCGUGAAGAAGGCCUUUUGGUUGUAAAGCACUUUCAGCGAGGAGAAGGCUACUCUCGUUAAUACCUAGAGACAGUGGACGUUACUCGCAUACUAAGCCCUGGCUAACUCUGUGCUAGCAGCCGCGGUAAUACAGAGGGUGCAAGCGUUACUCGGAUUUACUGGGCGUAAAGCGCGCGUAGGUGGCCGAUUAAGUCAAAUGUGAAAUCCCCGAGCUUAACUAGGGAAGUGCAUUCGAUACUGGUUGGCUAGAGUAUGGGAGAGGAUGGUAGAAUUCCAGGUGUAGCGGUGAAAUGCGUAGAGAUCUGGAGGAAUACCGAUGGCGAAGGCAGCCAUCUGGCCUAAUACUGACACUGAGGUGCGAAAGCAUGGGGAGCAAACA